rnacentral:rRNA from 1 species
UACAUAGGGGGCAAGCGUUAUCCGGAUUUACUGGGUGUAAAGGGUGCGUAGGUGGUUAAUUAAGUUUCUGGUGUAAGUGCAGUGCUCAACGCUGUGAUGCUAGGAAAACUGAUAAACUAGAGUGAGACAGAGGCAAGUGGAAUUCCAUGUGUAGCGGUAAAAUGCGUAAAUAUAUGGAGGAACACCAGUGGCGAAGGCGGCUUGCUGGGUCUAUACUGACACUGAGGCACGAAAGCGUGGGGAGCAAACA